UAAAACGCAGAAAAAGAAUGAAGUCAUCGUAAUCGCCUGGUGCUCAUCUCCUUGAACUCGCACAAGCCGAGAAGUCCGCUACUGCGUUAGCACCACCGCAUUGAUUUGGUACAGGUAGACGACACGAAUAACCCUUCAACGCUCCCAAAUGUGCUUUGUUGUUUUAGAUUGGUCAAGAUGCUAAUUCAAGGUUCUUGUUCUUAAAUUCGAUGAUUUUGUGUACAAAAGGCUCUAUGCUUCGAGGCAUUUGUUCCUUCUUUAUGAAUGGUCAAUUUAACUGUUAUCAUUUUUAUUGACUACAACCUUUACAUAUAACAUGCUUGUCGCUUCUGUCUUCCUCCCGAUUGUUGCCUUGUAACAGGUAUGCCUUUUUUGGUCUAUUUGAGUGUUUUAUAUGUUUGACUGCUUUAAUGUUUAACCUAUAUUUACCUGACUGCCUACUGCCCUACUUUGUUUUGCUGUUAAAUGUUAAACAUUGGGUGAUAGGGGUCAAGUGUUAUACAUUCUGUGAAAGGAAUAAAUUGUUAACUUUGGAUGUCAUGUAGAUUAAUCAAAGUGUUGAACUUGCUGUCAUGAAAUGCAAAAAACCAAGGCCUACAAACAUCAAAGUUUUCUAGCAAAAAAAUGAUGUUGGCUUCAGUGGUAGCGUGAAAAACACAAUUAUAUAGGAUGAGCAUUUGGUACCAGGUACCAGUACCGAACCGGGAUAUUCGGUACCGGUAUCAAUUUUUUCCGUAUUUUGGUACCGGUACCGGUUUGGUACCGAACGGGUACCAUGCUCAUCCCUAAUUCUGUAUCUUCUGCUUUGUCUAUAUGAACCAAUAAGUGGCCAGGUAACCCUUCUUUCCUAAAAUGAUGGUGAAUUUCUAGUAGAGGUGACAAGUUAGGCAGGUUGACCCUCAAAUAUUCUUUGUCCUUCUUUUUGACCUUUUUAUUACUUAAAGGUAUUUUGUCAUUUCGUGUUUAUAAAUUGGCAGAUUGCAUUUGUAGAAUUAGUUCAGUUUCAAAAGUAUUUAUUCAUAAGUUUGAAGAAAGCCAUUGAGAUGCCAAUGUCCUCGCCUGCGCCUUGCGUCUUUGACAACAUAGCUCCUAAUCAAGAGUGUUACUAUCAUUACAAGGACUUUUGGAUGUUGGAUUUGAAAACAAAUCAAUGGGAACAAUAGAAUUAUAAAGGAUGUCCUAGUCGACGUUCUGGUCAUCCGAUGGUUUUGUAUAAGCACAAGCUUGUUAUUUUUGAUACUUCAAUUCUCUUUAAUUUGGAUACUUUUAAGUGGCAAGAGAUAAAACCGGCACCUGGAUGCUUAUAAUGGCCAAGUGCUCGGAGUGGAUUCCAACUCUUUGUUUACCAAGAAGAUAUAUAUAAAAGGAUUGUUCAUUCAGACAUACGAGCGCUUGACCCUAAGACUUGAGUUUGUAUCAAGUUAAAGAAAGGCGGGAUGCCACCUGGACCUCGUGCUGGUUUCUCAAUGAGUGUUCAUAGAAUCAGGCCGUGCUGGUUUCUCAAUGAGUGUUCAUAGAUUCAGGCCGUGCUCUUCAGGGGAGUUGUUGACGUGGAGGUUGAAGGCUUAGUCUUCUUUUGUAAAGAGCAGAGGAAUACUUGGCUAUAGAUAUGGUGAUAUUUGCGAAGAAUGAUCGAGUUAUGCGGCAAGUGUUAUUUUUUAAUGAUAACUGGUGUCGACAAAUGUAUUGAUAAACAAUAUUUUUGUAAACAUUAAAAUAUUUGUAGUAUAAUUGAUAAAUGAUUAUGCAAUGGGUUUUUGGU
rnacentral:lncRNA from 1 species